rnacentral:lncRNA from 1 species
CCGCCGGCCCGCCGAGGCCGCGGGCGGGCGAUCGGACCGUCCCGAGACCACCGGAGCGGACUGUUUGAAACUCACCAUGUCCCAACUGCGCCGGCGACAUCCUCCCUGCCCAGGCGCCCCAGGAGGAGCUGCGGCCGCGGAGCGCGCUUGGCCCGGAACGGAAACCCGGGUCUGCGGCCUCGCCCCUCGGACCCCAGCUCCCCUCUGCAGGCCCUGCAUCCUCCCCCAACGCAGCCGAGCCUCAGUGUCCUGAUCCGGGAAGUGGGCGCACAACGCCUGGCUGAGUGGUGACCUGUCCGAACUCAGCUCAGCCUUCCGCGCCGGGCCGGGACACAAAGGGACCGCUCUUCUGGCAGAUCCCCAUCUAGGGGAUCAUCGCCACAACGGGCUCGUGAUGUCUCCAUCGUGCCAAACUCGCAGCAAUAGCUGUCUUUUUCUGGAUCUUGGAGUUAGAAAAACAGCUACAGCAAAAGACCCCUGAAGGAAGCGCUUUGUCCCGAACACUCGCGAAUCCUCACAUGUGGCCCCACGCUGGCCCUCUGAACUUCUCCCCGGGAUGCCCACUUGAGGGACGGAAGUCGCAUCUCCCUGGGAGCCAGCGACUUCCCCCGAGGCGGCGUAGCAGGGUGAGUGCUGCUGCGCUGGGUUGAAAGCCAGGCGUUGCCCUCAGCUGUUUUUGUUUUUCGCCACGUUUCUUUUAGCUUUCUGCUUCUAGCCCUGGUCUUUCGUACCUCAGGCCGAUCCUUUCUCUUUCCCAGAAGUCCUGUCCCCUACGGUGAAAAUCCAGACCCAGAGCUGUGGGAGGCCUCAGAGUGCCCAGGGGCCCUGGGAGCACAAAGGAUUGUUGCCGCCGCGAGGACUCCGCUCUGAAGGAGCUGCCGGCCCAGGCCCGCAGCCGUGGGCUAUGUUGUAGCCCGGUAGAAGUGCACUUGCCCCAGAACAUUUGGGAUCUUGAGUUCCCAUUCAAGCCUGCAAAAAGAAGCAGAACCCAUGGGCAUGUGUGCUCCAGGUGUCACUCCUCGUGCCCUCUGGGACCUGGCUCCUGUGAUGAUCAAGCAAGACUGGGCGUUCCUGGAUCGGGUUGGCAGCAGCCUCCAGAUGCGCUCCUGACUGUUCCUGGUACGUGGCUGCCAG